AUGCCCUAUCCCAUUCGAGCGCCGCGGUCUGCCCCGCUUCGCGCGCUUCCCCAAAUUUCAUAUCCCGCAGAAUCUGCGAACGGCAGAUCGGUCUGUCAGACGCGGGAUUUCCUGCGAUCCAUCGCUCGGAAAUCGGCAAAGUCCAAAAGAUCACUCGACGAAAGAAAAGAAUGGAUCGAGUCGACUGAAGAAAAGUUGCUCACUAUCAACAAAGAGAUUCUUGGUUCAAAACAACGCAUGACCAGUAUGCAAAGGCCAAUCGGAAACAACAUCAACUCCUUCCUCACUCAAGCCUCAAUCCAUUUGGGGGCUAAUGAUGGAGUCAUGUACCUAGGGUAG
rnacentral:rRNA from 1 species